UGCAGUUUGAUCUCUGACUGCUGUGCUAGCAAUCAGUGAGACUCCCUGGGCAUAGGACCCUCCGAGCCAGGUGGGGGUUAUAAUCUCGUGGUGCGCCGUUUUUUAAGCCCGUCGGAAAAGCGCAGUAUUCCGGUUGGAGUGACCCGAUUUCCAGGUGCUGUCCGUCACCCCUUUCUUUGACUGGGAAAGGGAACUCCCUGACCCCUUGCCCUUCCCAAGUGAGGCAGUGCCUCGCCCUGCUUCGGCUCGCGCACGGUGCACGCACUCACUGACCUGCGCCCACUGUCUGGCACUCCCUAGUGAGAUGAACCCGGUACCUCAGAUGGAAAUGCAGAAAUCACCCGUCUUCUGCGUCGCUCAAGCUGGGAGCUGUAGACCGGAGCUGUUCCUACUCGGCCAUCUUGGCUCCUCCCCGCCAAGCCUGUCAGUCAGAAUUCCAUUGCAUGCCUGUUCUUGAACAACCAUGGUCAAGGAGACAAGAUUCCUGAUGACUGACUCACACUAAUCAAAACUCAGCCACUGGUCCUAGCAAACUUCAUGAGAUGAGAGUGGAGAGUGUCCCAUCUCAUCUUAAGCAUAUGACUGUCCCAUACCCAUACAAAAUCAGGUUCUUUGCACAAAGAACAAUAGAGGUGAAUGACCAAUGAGUAAUCAAAGAGAGAGUUUUUCAGAAUAUGACUGCAUUUGGAAAUAGGGACUUUAAAGAGGUGAUUAAGUUACAAUGAGGCCACUAGAGAAGACAAUUAUCCAUUUGGACUGAUGUGCUUAGAAGAAGAGCAUAUUGGUAAAAAGAGACACCAGAGGUACAACAGCACAGAGAAAGACCAUGUGAGGACAUAGUGAGAAGAUGGCCAUCCCAUCUGCAAGCCAAGGACAGAGGCCUCAGGAGAAACCAACCCUGAUGACACCUUGAUCUUGGACUUCACAGCCUCCAGAACUAACAUACUCAAGUGUCUCAGCUCAACAUUUGGAGAUGAGCCAUCCUCCUCUUAUUGUAAGAAAAGCUUGAAGGAGUAUUUUCACAGCGAUGGAACUGGAAGUUAAGGCAACUUCUAUCAGCAUCAAGAAAAGAAAAGAAGUAUUCACCACUUACGAAACAACAUCUCUCUUCUCAUCAAUAGUUUGAUUUACAGCAUCUACUGCAGAAGACCUCAAUAAUGCAUAAGAACAUCUGGAAGUACGGUAAUUUCAGCUAUCAGAGAUAAGAAUUGACACAGAACAGUUUCCUCACUGGAGAAAAUAAGCCUGGUUAUUUUUUGGCCUAUGUUGAAACAUCAUAAGUAGAAUGAAACAGCAUAAUUUUUUCCCCCUGGGGUUCAAGAGUUUAUUUCUUUUGAUACAACAAUAAAUCAACUGACGAAAUGGAAUUUCUUUGCAAUACAUAUGCAACAAGUUAGUUUGCAUGGACAAGUUGAGCUUCAGUUUAUAUAUAGACACUCUGGAACAUUUUAUUAUAAAGCAAUAGUGCUGGAAAGCCACUUAAAGGGGUAACUGCACCAGUAACUAUGAGAAGGAGAUAUAUGAUUAACCUAGUAGAACUUAAAAAGUGAUUUCUGCAGCUUUGAAAUCAUCUACACAUGAACUCAAGCAGCAAUACGUAUUGGCAUCUGGAAAUCUGCAGAUUUGGAUGCACAAACAAUUAGACAUAAGACACAGCAUAAUGAAGUAUUUGUUUUCAUAGAGGAUCAUAGAAAUUCAUAAACAGAGGAUGAAGAAACACAGAAGACAGAGGAAGGAUUUAGUUUUGGGAACAUGUGCUAAUGGCCAUCAAACAAUUCUGAAAUAACUGAAAGAGAACCUUUGAAACACCCUUUAGAUUAAGAGCCUGGCUUGUAAUCUGUAACAACAAACGGUAUUACAAUGAGAGAAAAAUAAAUGUCCUGUCAAGGCAUUCCUUCAAUGACAUCUUGUCACACAAGUCUAUAUCCAAGGCUGCCCACAAAGUGGAAAAAUGGGGAAAAUAAGGCGGGACCACAAGGCAAGAGGAGAAAGAGAGAAUUCAGCUCACUAUGAUUUCUGCAAUAUACAAUUAUGGGAAAUCAUGUUUGGAUUGACACUGCAGACAGAAAUGGCAUGCAUGAUUCCUGUUUGGACAGGAAUAGCUGUUGGGGAGGAAGCCAACCUUGAAUGACACUGAAGAGCAACAUAAUGAAGCAUGAAUUGACAGGCAUCCUUCACGUUGCUUCUGGCUUCCCGUGUAAAAAGCCAUAUCUGAGCGCAGCUCUUAUGGGGCCAGAUCCAGGGGAGGAGAAAGGAAGUGAGGCCCAGAAAAAAUACAUUGUCAUGGAGGAGUGAAACUGAAGACAAAACAAAAAGGACUUUCCACAACUAGGCCCCUGGCUUACACUGCAAUGGAAGAAGAGGAGCAGAAAUACUGCCAAAGA
rnacentral:lncRNA from 10 species